rnacentral:sRNA from 1 species
UAAUGUUAAUAUUAUGAAUGGGGAGCA